CGCGGUAAUACGAAAGGUCCAAGCGUUACUCGGAAUCACUGGGCGUAAAGCGCGCGUAGGCGGUUCUAUUUGUCGAUUGUGAAAGCCCCGGGCUCAACCUGGGAACAGCAGUCGAAACGGUAGAACUUGAAUGUCGGAGAGGGUGGGGGAUACCUAGUGGAGAAGUGAAAUUCGUAGAGAUUAGGUGGAACACCAGAGGCGAAGGNGCCUGCCUGGCCGAACAUUGACGCUGAGGCGCGAAAGCGUGGGUAGCAAACAGGAUUAGAUACCCUGGUAGUCCACG
rnacentral:rRNA from 1 species